UACAGAGGUCCCAAGCGUUGUUCGGAUUCAUUGGGCGUAAAGGGUGCGUAGGUGGCGUCGUAAGUCGGGUGUGAAAUCUCGGGGCUUAACUCCGAAACUGCAUUCGAUACUGCGGUGCUUGAGGACUGGAGAGGAGACUGGAAUUUACGGUGUAGCAGUGAAAUGCGUAGAGAUCGUAAGGAAGACCAGUGGCGAAGGCGGGUCUCUGGACAGUUCCUGACGCUGAGGCACGAAGGUCAGGGGAGCAAACGGG
rnacentral:rRNA from 1 species